rnacentral:misc_RNA from 1 species
AACGCACAUUGCGCCCGCCAGCAUUCUGGCGGGCAUGCCUGUUCGAGCGUCAUUUCAACCCUCAAGCUCUGCUUGGUGUUGGGGCCCUACGGUUGACGUAGGCCCUUAAAGGUAGUGGCGGACCCUCUCGGAGCCUCCUUUGCGUAGUAACUAACGUCUCGCACUGGGAUUCGGAGGGACUCUUGCCGUAAAACCCCCAAAUUUUUAAAGGUUGACCUCGGAUCAGGUAGGAAUACCCGCUGAACUUAA